UCUCCUACAUCGGGCAGGGUGAUGUUGCUGUUAGGAUUUAAUUAAUCCUAUUAAUCCCUGCUUUUUUUAAUUAAGGCGGUUGUCUCGUAUCCCUUCGGACUAAUCCCAUCUUCGAUGAGAACAACUAUUCACUUUUACUUCUGUCUCUUGCGAGUUUCCUCUCUCGUUUUACUUUACAAUACGUUAUCAGCACACUCUUUUCCCAGCGAAGCGAUGAACAAGAGACCUGGAAACGAGGACGGAUCAAUCUCGAUGGCAGUAUCCCCGCGAGCAUUCACGGAGGCACCGUGUGGCGUGGCUUCUCCGGCCUCCCGCACAAGGCUGUAUGCGCACGCGGCCGUCGGCCCCGGCGAGUGGUUCGAUGAGAAGCCUGGCGCUGCGCGAUCCUCGACGCGAAGUGCACGGGGCCAACGGCGGUUAUCAUACAUUUGAUCUAAUUGCUAUAGGAUUAAGGUGAUUCCUUUCCUAUUUAAUCUGGUACAGGAUUAAGGUUGCAACCCAUCUCCGGUGAGCAGCGUGGUGCUCAUGGCCCGAACGGAAGCAGCGGCGCAAGGCCCAAUUCCUAGGGCAGGCACUGCAUGCGGCCAUGGCGUCAUCUGGUGUUCUUCCACGAACCCAAUGACCCUGGAUCGCAGCGGACUCCGACGUCAACGGCCAGGCGGCCGUGCCUGCAACACUCUUGAUAGAGAAGAAAUCAAAAGAAGAAGUUCAUCGAUGUACAGAUGGCGUCAUGAUCUGUUGAUUCAAGGACUGAAUUCUGGAGCAUACGGUGAUGCAAAGGGAAACGCAACCGCGUCAUACGACAGCGGGGACUCCGCGCUCAAGUCUCAGCAGCGGCGGCGAACGGCUGGGCAGCAAAGCAGCGCGCCACGGCGUGGCGACGCUGUCGCGUCGACCCGCCACCCAGUCGGCCGGCCCCUGCGCCCCCACCGGCGUCUGCGGCUCCGUCGGUAACAGCCACGGCCGCUCACGGCGCUCAGAGCCUCACAGUCGGCAACGCCUGGCACGCUCGAGCCGCAUCAGCGGUGGCGGCCCGCCCUGUCCAUGGAGCGCAGCGCCCUCCCAGCCCCGACUCGGCGUCGACCCAUGGCUUGCGCGCAGCGGCAGUGCAUCUGUCUACGCGCAGUUGUGUUAUGUGGGCUGCUCGAGCGCGGCGGCGACGCCUCCCUCCGGCGGCAGUUACGGGAUUUCCCCCGGAUGAAACCGCACGGGAAAACCUUAUCUUCGCUAUUUUGCACGAAGUUCCCUGUUCUUACAGGAAUUUGCAAAAUAGGAUGAACCAGUGGUCCAAGCCGAUUUUGCUCAAUACCCUUCUAUUUUUGUGAUUUCGUAGAUUGGUCUUGUUAACAAUGCUAUUUACUAGUAUUGAGAUGUUUUAGACCCUGUUAAAUAUUGUGUUUCUGUAGAGUACUUUGUAUUCCAGAACAUAUGUGUGAUGUAAUAUAUUUCCAUGUUAUUCUACAUGUUGAGAUUA